GACGAACGCUGGCGGCGUGCUUAACACAUGCAAGUCGAGCGAUGAAGCUUCCUUCGGGAAGUGGAUUAGCGGCGGACGGGUGAGUAACACGUGGGCAACCUGCCUCAAAGAGGGGAAUAGCCCUCCGAAAGGAGGAUUAAUACCGCAUAAAGUUAGAGUUUCGCAUGAAACUUUAACCAAAGGAGUAAUCUGCUUUGAGAUGGGCCCGCGUCCCAUUAGCUAGUUGGUAGGGUAAUGGCUUACCAAGGCAACGAUGGGUAGCCGACCUGAGAGGGUGAUCGGCCACAUUGGAACUGAGACACGGUCCAGACUCCUACGGGAGGCAGCAGUGGGGAAUAUUGCGCAAUGGGGGAAACCCUGACGCAGCAACGCCGCGUGGGUGAUGAAGGUUUUCGGAUCGUAAAACCCUGUUUUCUGGGACGAUAAUGACGGUACCAGAUGAGGAAGCCACGGCUAACUACGUGCCAGCAGCCGCGGUAAUACGUAGGUGGCAAGCGUUGUCCGGAUUUACUGGGCGUAAAGGGUGCGUAGGCGGAUGCUUAAGUGAGAUGUGAAAUACCUAGGCUUAACUUAGGGGCUGCAUUUCAAACUGGGCAUCUAGAGUACAGGAGAGGGAAACGGAAUUCCUAGUGUAGCGGUGAAAUGCGUAGAGAUUAGGAAGAACACCAGUGGCGAAGGCGGUUUCCUGGACUGUAACUGACGCUGAGGCACGAAAGCGUGGGUAGCAAACAGGAUUAGAUACCCUGGUAGUCCACGCCGUAAACGAUGAAUACUAGGUGUAGGAGGGUCCAACCUUCUGUGCCGCAGUUAACACAUUAAGUAUUCCGCCUGGGGAGUACGGUCGCAAGACUAA
rnacentral:rRNA from 1 species